AAAAAGCCCCAAAUUAUUCCCGCCAUUUUUGUGUGUGUAAAAUUAGGGAUUUCAAUUCAAAGAUGGCGAAGAAGGGGAUAGAGAAUCUGUGGAGAGAAGUGAGGGAGCUGAGUUUGGGAACCGAGACCGAUCGCCUCGACUCUCCUCCCUCUCCGCUCCACUUCCUCCGAGACUACGUCUCUCAGAGCAAGCCCUGCGUGAUCUCCAACGCGAUCCCUCACUGGCCGGCUCUAAACCUCUGGUCCGAUCCCGCUUACCUCGCCGGAACUUUGUCCAACGACCUCGUCUCGCUUCAUCUCACUCCCAACGGCUCCGCCGACGCCGUCACUCCGAUUAGCAGCGACGACGGAGGAGAUCUCUGUUUCGCUUCGGCUCACGUGGAGAAGCUCCCGUUCCCUGAGGCUCUUCGCGCCGUUCGAUCCUCAUCGUCCAAGGGGGAGGAGAAGAAGGUCGGGUAUUUGCAGCAGCAGAACGAUUGUUUUAGAACGGAGUAUUCGACCGUUGCUAAGGACUGCGACGGAGACAUCCCGUGGGCUACGGAGGCGCUGGGGUGCUCCCCGGAAGCUGUGAACCUUUGGAUAGGCACUGGUCUCUCCGUGACUUCUUUUCACAAAGACCACUACGAGAAUCUAUACGCCGUCGUUUCGGGGGAGAAGCAUUUCCUUCUCCUUCCUCCCACCGAUGUGCACCGCCUCUACGUGCAGCGAUAUCCAGCUGCCAAUUACAAUUACAAUCGAGAUACUGAAGAGUUCAAGCUUGAGAUUGAGCAGCCAGUGAGGCAUGUGCCGUGGUGCAGUGUUGAUCCAUACCCUUCACCAGAGAGGGAAGCAAGUGAGAGAUUGAAAUAUCCGUUGUUCUUUAAUGGCCCAAAGCCCUUUCAUUGUACUGUCAAGGCUGGGGAGGUUCUUUACCUGCCCAGUAUGUGGUUUCACCAUGUUAGUCAAACCCCAGGAGAUGGUGGCUAUACCAUUGCGGUGAACUAUUGGUAUGACAUGCAGUUCGACGUCAAAUAUGCUUAUUUCAACUUCUUGCAAUCUUUAUCAUACGAGUCAUCUUCACUUAAUCCAGUUCUGUCUUGGAGAGAAGAUGAAGAUACGGAAUCUGGUGAUUCAGAUGUAUGAAGAGUCGAAACAACGUUUUGCUUGGUGAGGUCAAGUUUGUUUUAUCAGUCAUGGUUGAAAGCUCGGGAAGAUCGUAACUUAGCAUUUGGAAAAUCUUAGGACAAAGGCGGAGAAUUGUCUGAACGUUGUUUGUUUGAUCCUUGCCAUGUACUUUGAUUUUGGCAGUGAGGGCAUGUGGAUUAGUGGAUGCUGUUCGAUAUGUACGAGAAGGAUGGGUUGGUGAAAGAUGCAGAAAUGGUAUUCUGAGCUAUAAAGGGCGAGAAGUUUUAGAUGCUCCAAGGCUAUGGCCGCCAGUUAUAUGCAGAAUGGGUUUCACGUUGAGGCCAUUAAGAUUCUCUAUCAGAUGAAAGUGGCCGGGUUGAUACGAAGCAGGCUGUUCGAUAUGUACGAGAAGGAUGGGUUGGUGAAAGAUGCAGAGAUGGUAUUCUGAGCUAUAAAGGGCGAGAAAAGUUUUAGAUGCUCCAAGGCUAUGGCCACCAGUUAUAUGCAGAAUGGGUUUCACGUUGAGGCCAUUGAGAUUCUCUAUCAGAUGAAAGUGACUGGCAUCGAAGUGUAUAACAGACUCGUGAACGAGGUGAAAGACCAUUAGCUGUUCUAGCUAGAUAAUGAACCUGAUAGUUAAGACUCUGUUGUGUUUAAGGCAUGUAAAUGUUGAUGUGUUUACACAGAUAUAUAUACUGUUUGUGUUUGAUAA